GUGCUUACUUUGGCAACACAUACACUAAAAUUGGAACGAUACAGAGAAUAUUAGCAUGUCCUCUGUGCAGGGAUGACACAGAAAUUUGUGAAGCAUUCCGUAAAAAAUUAUA